rnacentral:rRNA from 1 species
AUACGGAGGGUGCAAGCGUUAUCCGGAUUUAUUGGGUUUAAAGGGUGCGCAGGCGGAAAAUUAAGUCAGUGGUGAAAUCCUACAGCUUAACUGUAGAACUGCCAUUGAUACUGAUUUUCUUGAGUGCAGUUGAGGUAGGCGGAAUGUGUAAUGUAGCGGUGAAAUGCUUAGAUAUUACACAGAACACCGAUUGCGUAGGCAGCUUACUAAACUGUUACUGACGCUCAGGCACGAAAGCGUGGGGAGCGAACAGGAUUAGAAACCCGAGUAGUCC